AGAGUUUGAUCAUGGCUCAGGAUGAACGCUGGCGGCGUGCUUAAUACAUGCAAGUCGAACGAAGACAGUAGCAAUAUUGUCUGAGUGGCGAACGGGUGAGUAACGCGUUGGUGACCCGCCCCGAAGAGAGGGAUAACAGUCCGAAAGGAUUGCUAAUACCCCAUGUGGUCAUUUGGAUUAGAUGCCUUAUGACUAAACGGAUUUAUUCGCUUCGGGAGGGGCCUGCGUCCCAUCAGCUAGUUGGUAAGGUAAUGGCUUACCAAGGCGAUGACGGGUAGGGGACCUGAGAGGGUGGCCCCCCACAAUGGAACUGAAACACGGUCCAUACACCUACGGGUGGCAGCAGUAGGGAAUAUUGGUUAAUCUGGGAAACCGGGAACCAGCAACGCCGCGUGCACGAUGAAGGCCUUCGGGUUGUAAAGUGCUUUUUGAAAGGAUGAGGAAGGACAGUACUUUCAGAAUAAGCUUCGGCUAACUACGUGCCAGCAGCCGCGGUAAAACGUAGGAAGCGAGCGUUAUCCGGAUUUACUGGGCGUAAAGCGUGUGUAGGCGGUUUGACAAGUUGGAUGUGAAAGCUCCUGGCUUAACUGGGAGAGGUCGUUCAAAACUGUCAGACUUGAGAGUGGUAGAGGGAGGUGGAAUUCCGGGUGUAGUGGUGAAAUGCGUAGAUAUCCGGAGGAACACCAGUGGCGAAAGCGGCCUCCUGGCCCAUUUCUGACGCUCAGACACGAAAGCUAAGGUAGCAAACGGGAUUAGAGACCCCGGUAGUCUUAGCUGUAAACGAUGUGAACUUAGUGUCGGUGGGUUUAAAUCCAUCGGUACUGAAGCAAACGCGAUAAGUUCACCGCCUGGGGACUACGGCCGCAAGGUUAAAACUCAAAGGAAUUGACGG
rnacentral:rRNA from 1 species